UACAGAGGUCUCAAGCGUUGUUCGGAUUCAUUGGGCGUAAAGGGUGCGUAGGCGGCGCGGUAAGUCGGGGUGUGAAAUCUCGGGGCUUAACUCCGAAACUGCAUUCGAUACUGCCGUGCUUGAGGACUGGAGAGGAGACUGGAAUUUACGGUGUAGCGGUGAAAUGCGUAGAUAUCGUAAGGAAGACCAGUGGCGAAGGCGGGGUCUCUGGACAGUUCCUGACGCUGAGGCACGAAGGCCAGGGGGAGCAAAACGGGG
rnacentral:rRNA from 1 species